GAUUUCACUUAACAAAAGGCUGUUAAGAGUUUUGUAUCUUCGGGAUUCCGGUCAAUGCUGCUCCUGAGAUUACAGGUUGGCUGUCUAUUGGUGGAUUUCCGUCCUUUGUUGAAGAUAUGAAGGUCUAUACUCCGAGGACUGCGCCUUAUGCUAGUGAGGAAAUUGAUGUGGUUCGUGAGCAAUGGGCGAAGUUUUUUACCAGCAAGUAUUUAUUAUUGACCUGAGGGAGCUUGAUCGAGUUGGUUUAGAUGUUAUAGAACAAUCUUUUAUGUUAAAAUGUAUGCGUACGUUGAAAUUGGAACGUAAAUAUAUUUAAAUGUAUCGGUAUGUGCACUUUUGGUUUUGGGAUAUAUACAAAACUCGAGUUGUUGUUUUUAUA